rnacentral:lncRNA from 1 species
UGAGCUAGCGAAGCGGCAAUGUUAGUUUAGAUAGCCUAAUAUGGCACACAAUGCAGAGGAAGACUCCAGCCUUCAUCCCCACGACCACCAGAGGGCUGAAGAAGACCCCCUAGCAACAGCCGGCGCAACCGCAGAAGUUACAGGAGGUGCCCUGUAUACCCAGAACUGGAAUCUCAUAUAAGGAGACUGUGAGGGGGGGGUUGCAUGCACCGUUGGUGGAGCAGGAGACUCCCCCCCGGCCGCCCAGUGCUGUUUUGCUUACUUGUGACUUGCUCAAUUAUUUUAUAAAUUGGAAUUGAUGCAACCCGGCCCAAGUGGUGGUCAAUUUGUCACGUUUACCUAUAACAGCACUGUCCUAGCAGGCACUGAGCUACCACUGACCUCACAACCACAAAGAGCAGCCAUGGGCCUAGCACUGGCCUAUCAGGCACUGAGACACAAUGACCUCACAGUUGAAAACAGCAGCCAUGGGCCUAGCACUGGCCUAUCAGGCACUGAGCCACAAGUGACCUCACAACCAGAAACAGCAGCCAU